CUGCUGGUUGCUUGUUGACAUGCAUUGUUGGAGGUUAGUCUGCAUACCUUGGAAAUUGACAACAGUAUUUGAAUAUGAAUUCACAUAUUAUAUUUUUUUUAUAUAAAAAAUAUACACAUAUUUUUAAAUCUUUUUUUCUGUGGUGUAUUUAGUACAUUUACAUUUUUACCUAUGUUUUUUCCUUUGUUUUUAAAUUGCUGGGGUAAGAUUUCAGAUUUUUUUAAAAAUCAGAACCCAGAUUUUAAAUAUUCUGAACCCUACAUACAAAUCCCAAAAAUGAAAAAAAUCAAAUAUGCAGAUUUUAUGUAAAUUAGGUCGAAGGUGAAUCAUCCUCGAUUCCAAGGGAAAAAUAGGUUCUGGGCAUUUAGUCAGUCACAGUUGUCUGCCACACUCACGCCAUGACCAAGAAUUUAAGCGAACAGAAGCGAAGUUAGUAGUAGUUAGUAGUAUAACACUCCGCCCAGAGUGUUAGCCCAGGGGUGUCAAACUCAGGCCUGGAGGGCCACACAACUCUACAGAGGGUUGGUUUUACUCUUUUCUAACAGACCAAAUUCAGCCCACAAAUGUGCUUGGAAUUAGCUGAUGAAUGGAAUCAGGUGUGUUAAAUGAGAUGGAAAGCUGAACUCAGUUCUGUGGCCUUGCAUGACUGGAGUUUAGCCUGCCAACGAUUGCCAACAGGCUAACAUUAGCAUAGCCUAACUAGCUAGAUCAUUACCUGAAUAGUUACACUGGGCAUAUAUAUUAAGCAUUGAGUACACAACAUAACAAAACGAGUUAUUUGAGAACAUUAAAGCUUUAAAUGCACUUACCUCAUUCCUGGUCAUCUGUUUCUCUUCCACUUCUGUUUCACAUUCCCUGAUCUGACCUGACGAGACGAAACAAGACUUAAUUGACCUGAUUGACCUAAUUUUCUAAAAAAAAAAAAAAAAAAAAAUCUUAAAAAAAAAACAAAACAAAAAGGGUCGGCUUUUCCAUAAUCUUGGGGCUGCAACAGAAAAAGCCUGGUCACCUUUAAACCUCAUUUGAGUAUGAGUAAUAGUUAAAAGAAUUGAUGUGAAUGCUAGAGCUAGAAUAAGCACAGAGGAUAUAGAUAUGGUGCUAUAGAUAUAGAUACAGCUUGGUACUAUGCUUUGAAAACAUAUAAUAAAACGUUGAACUAUAUUCUGUAUAUGAAUGAUAACCAGUGAAGGAUGACCAAAACAGAGACCUUUUUCUGGUGCUGGUGUGGGGAUCUGUGUUUUCGUGUUGGUGGUUACCUGCACUGAUAAUCAGUGUGGGGAUCAUGUGAUCUGCAUUGUGUGGCUGCUUGUCCUGGGUCACAUGAGGCAUGUCACAUGACACAUUAGGAGAUUAUAAAGUUUGGCUUGUGGAGUUCACACUCUCUUGCUGCUGCCAUUUGCCACUGCAACUAGACUCCCGUCAUACAGGGUGACUGCUAGAAUAAUGUGUUCCACUCUUCAUGAAGGACACAGGUGACUGCGUGGCAUUUGAAGGACUUGUGACCUCCUAUUGAGUUGCUGGGCUGCAGACACUCUGGUAGUUUGUCUUAUGUGAUUUAAUUUUUUUUAAAUUGUUUUAUAUUGGUAUUUAAAAUGUGUUGAUUAUGUACUUGUAUUUGUAGCACUGGAGUGCCCCAUUUUAUCUUCCUGGGUUAUUGUGCUGCGGGGAGUAUUGAAUACUCUUGCAAAGUAGGCCAAUACUUCUUGUAUAUGUUGGUUUUAUGUGUGCUGGUGAAUGAAAUUGGGGAUUAAUGUGUAUUAUUUCUUUUUAAAGGGACCAGGCCAGCCACUGUUCUAUUGUCAGUGUACAAGUCUUUUUUUAGUUUGUUUGUUGGUUGUUUUGUUUGCCUUUGGCUUUGUCCUUUUUUUUUUUUUUUUUUUUUUUUUUUGUCCUUGGUCUAGUGUAACCCUGCCUUGACCAAGCCAGCGCGGUGGUCAUUGUGUUGGGAGCUGGCUGUUCUCCUCUUUUUGUCUCUGUAUAGGUUCUCUGUACAAGGCCGGAUCUGCACCUCAUUACUGCUCCUUUCAGUUGGGGGCUGCACUGAGGGGACACUAUUUUGGUGUGUACUGGUAACAUGCAACACGGUGUGGUAUUUUGUAGUGGUAAUUACUGACCUUGUGUGUGCAGUGUUUGCUAUGUUGCAUGCUUGUAUGGUGUUGGGUUUGUUGUGUCUGUCUCUCUCAUCAGGGCCUCCUAGGAGAGGAGCUGUGGGUGCCGUGCCGACCCGACCUUAUUAGUUUGAGAAGCUCCAGCCAGUUUCCCUUCGUCUCUUUUUCACAUUAGCAAUUGUACCUAUUCAAAAUUGUAAUAAAUUUGAGCUUGUGUACA